UCCCUGUCAUAUUCAGCACUUUAUGAGGCUGAGUGAAAAGAAUGUAGGCUUAAGCACUCUGAAAGUUACAUAUUAACUUCCUAUUUAUGAAUUAAUUUAGGGCUGUGUAUAAGGCAUGGUUAACCAGUGCUGGAAUUCAAACGGCCAGAACUAAGGAGAUCCUGCUACAUUCUUUCAUUUACAAUGCGGCCAUCAUUAGAGGAACAGCCCUACCUUAAUCCUAGCAUUGUGGGUGCCAGAACUUUGUUAGAGAAGCUGCCUAUGGUGUCUGCUGGUAUGAAUAGAAAGAGAGAUCUCUGAAGAAUCUUCCCGGACUGGUUUCCAAAAGAAUAACAAUCGAGCAACUUGAAGUCAGUGCAACGAUUCACAUUGACUUCAAUGGACUUUGGAUCAGGUUCUUAUUGCAGACUAAUAUGAGCUCAUAGUUACAGAAUCAGAGAGGAUCAGGAUCGACCCCUUGAGACUGCUGUAGUAGGACGACCAAGCCAGAUUCUUCAGAGGAAGGUGUAAACCCUCAUGCUGUGCUGGGCUGAUGGGAGAUUUUCUGACUGCCCUCAACAAACAACACCUGGCUCCUUCGUUGAUGUGCUACUAGAUAACAGAGAGUAACAGGCAGGAAUAGCCCCGCUGCAUCGAAUUGACCGACAGAACUGUGUGAUGUCAUCUGAUAAAUUAUGAAGUCACUCAGAAGAUUACUCAUCUGUGCUGCAUUUGAUUAUCAAUUGAUUUAUGGUCCCGCCAAUGGGCUUUCUGUCCGAAGUUGACAUUUCUGCUUCUCCUGGAAUGCUGGGAUAAUGUGACUAUCACAGCUGCAGCUCUGCGUGUUGCAGCCUGUCUGUGGGAGUCAACAAGCAGCAUUUUCUGUGAGUCUGACACAUUCUAGCUUUCCCAUGAAGCAUUAAAAUUAUUUUUGUAAGUAAUGCUGACAAUUAGAGCUGGAUAGGAGUGGAUUAUACCAUGUACUGUUUUCCUUGUUACGGGCGGAUAUUUUAAUAAAAAUGUAGUUAAAUGCAAAGUGCUAAGCAAACAUCUGGGCAGAGUGUUUGCUCUACAAUCAAAAAACCUUGAGCAAGAGUGAAGGAACCAGAGUGCUGGUUCAUUGCACAGUAUAAGGAAACCCACUUUGGAGACUUCUGAGCACUCUAAUUAGCACUCUAAAUCAAUAGCCCAAACAUCUGACCUACCUUAAAAGCAACAGUGUACUUAUUGACAGUUUUUGGUUGGGUCUGAUUCUUAUCUCUUGAAAAUUGGUGUAAAUCAGGAGUAACUAGUGAAGUUGAUGGAGUUAUAUGAGUGUAAAGCCAGUGCAAGUGAUACCAGAAUCGCAGCCAAUCACAGAAACUUAGAAAUACAGGGCUGUAAGGGACCUCAAGAAGUCAUCAAGCCCAGACCCCUGUGCUGAGGAUCAAGUAAACCUAGACCAUCCCUGCCAUGUGUUUGUCUAACCUGCACUUAAAACCCUCCAGUGAUGGGGACUCCACAACUUCUCUAGGUAACCUGUGCCAGUGCUCAACUAUCCUUAGAGUUCAAAAGUUUUUCCUAAUAUCCAACCUAAAUCUCCCUUGCUGCAGAUUUAGCCCAUUACUUCUUGUCCUCCCUUCAGUGGACACGAGGACAAUGGAUCCCUAUCAUCUUUAUACCAGCCCUUAACUUGUUGGAAGACUGGUCUCAGGUCCCUCCUCAGUCCUCUUUUUUCAAGACUCAACAUGCCUAGUUUUUUAACCUUUUCUCACAGGUCAGGUUUUCUCAACCUUUUAUCAUUUUUGUUGCUUUCUUAUGGACUCCCUCCAGUUUGUCCACAUCUUUCCUCAAGUGUGGUGCCCAGGAUUGGACUCAGUACUCCAGCUCAUCAGUGCCGAGCAGAGUGGGACAAUUACCUCCUGUGUCUUACAUUCAACACUCCAGUUAAUAAACCCCAGAACCAUAUUAGCCUUUUUUUGCAGCUGCAGCACACUGAUAACUCUUACUCAGUUUGUGGUCACCAGUAACCCCCAGCUAGCCAGUUAUUCCCCAUUUUGUAGCUGUGCAUUUGAUUUUUCCUUCCUAAGUGAAGUACUUUACACUUGUCUUUAUUGAAUUGCAUCUUGUUGAAUACAGACCAAUUCUCCAAAUUUUCAAGGUCAUUUUGAAUUUUUAACCUGUCCUCCAAAGUGCUUGCAACCCAUCCCAGCUUGGUGUCAUCUGCAAUAACUUGGUUUUCUUGUUGUUAUUUUAAUGAAGUGAUUACAGGCACUGUGAAGAUUGGUAAGAAUUAAAUUUGGUCUAUUCAAGAUGGGCGUUGGAUUCUAAAGGAUGUACAUACCACUGUUUCCUAUCCGCUUUGGUCUGCUGAACAUGCUGAAUGCUCUAAUUUGCAAGAAUCCUGCAUGGUGAUUACAUUUAACUUGGAUACAAGGAAGAUGAGGCAGACUAACAAAAGUAAUCUUAACUUUUCUUUUGCACUGAUAGAGUCUGAAGCUACAGAAAACUCUGAAGAGAUUAGGAUGCAAUUUGUAGAGCUUGUUGAAGAGGCCUGCUGUUGUAAUGGCUGCAGAGGGCAGCAACAUCAUGCAUGAGGAUAUCAAAGGUCUAAGCCAACGUACGUUGAAGUUAAUGGGAAUUGGUAAAAAAUAAGUCCAAUUUUUCAGAACAUUGGAGCCAAUAUUACAGAUGGGGGAACUGAGAUACACUGAUGGGAAGAGAUUUACCCAUAGGUCUCACCCUCCCGACCUAAUCCCUAGCUACAGCCCAUAAUAUUGUUUCUAUUUUAGUGAAACAAGCUUUCCAUUUAAUCUCUGAUGUGGUCAUUCAUAGAGCCUGACACCUGGUUUGUGAAGCACUGAUGUGCUUGAUUCUUGUGCUAUCCACCUUUCCCAGAGUGGUGUUACCAAAACUAAGACUCACAAGAUGCAACACAUUUUAGUUUCAGCUUUCAGUAUCAUUAUUUGAUACUUUCGGAAAGGGUGCUAAAACCCUCACAUCUGUUGUGGUGUGCAGCAAGGGCUUUACAUGAUUUAAAGGCCAUUUUGGUGGAGGCAAGAUUGUCAAAGGUGCAAAGUGGAGUCGGGCACACAAUCAACAGUACUUAAGUGACUUAGGAGCCUAAGGAGUCAGUGGAACUUAGUGUCUUAAGUCACAUAAAUGCUUUUGAAAUUCUUAACUUGUGUGCAUAAAUACCAUUUCAUUUCACUUGGAGUUGGGUUCCUAAUUUUCUCAGGCAUCUUUGAAAAUCUGACCCUUAAAUCAAAGAAGUUAUUUGAGAUGGUCCAAAAAUUUCAUCAAAAUUUCAGAUGUUUGAAAAAUUUCAACCAGCUCUAUAAGCUAUUACACAGAAAUCAAUUGCAUGAAAGGCAUGUUCGUUUGGUCAUAAAAAUCAUAUCUCAUUUCAAAUGCAUGUGACAAAAUGGUAUUUGGUGCUGCGUUUUUAGAAACUUGCAGUUGCCAUUAAUAAACAAAAAAUAGUUGCAGUGAGGGCUGGAUUCCAUUAACUAAGACCCUCCAAAGAUGUGGGAAGCCCGUAGCAGUCACUUAUCUUCUCCCAUGGGCGGUGGCAUGGGUUAGGGUAUGACUUUCAUACUAAAAUGCACUGCUUAAAUAGUCUUUGCAGGAUUGAUGCAUUGAGGUCCCAAUCCUGAAAAGAUAUUUUUCCCAUGCAAAGUGCAGUGACUUCAAGGAAACUACUCCCAGUGCACAAACUUCAGCACAUGCAUAAGUCUUCGGAGGAACAGGGUUUGACUGUAAGCUGGUUUGGGCAAGGUUAAUCAUUUUCUAUAUGUUUGUACUGUGCCUAGCAGGAAGGACUCCUGACAGGAUUGAGGCCUCUCUCUGUGGUGCUACUGUGAUAUCAAUAGUAAUAAUGAGCAAAUUCCCUCCAGCCAGGCUAUGUGCAUUCAAAUCUGAUGUCUUGUGUCAUUCUUGCAGUCUCUUCUUACCAGGAUGGGAAUCAUACUAUUCUAGUGGCGCUUCCUGUUAUCUUGAAGAUCUUUUCAAUCUAAACUGAGUCUUCCCACAUUCCCUGUAAAACCCUGGGAUAGUUGUCCAGAAUUCUGUUUGAGUUUUCUUCCACCCUGGUAUAUAGGCUGAGCAAACAUUUAUGUCUCUGACCUAAACAUUCUAAGGGACAUUUCAGCACAAUGCCUUUCACCUGACUUGCAAACCCAACGUGACAGGACUCUCCAGUCAGGCGACCACUUUGGACAGCUUUAAUACAAAAAAGGCUGAUUCACCCAGUUUAGUGACAUCCAUUUGUAACUCUCUGCAGUCAGCUUUUGACUUAACUAUCAUGUUCAUCGAUGUGUCUGAUAAUUCUGUUCUUUACCGUAGUUUCAACCAAUUUGCCAGGUACUGAAGGGAGGUUUACCAGCCUAUAAUUUCCAGGAUCACCUCUGGAUCCCCCUUUUAAAAAAUCAGUGUUACAUUAGGUACCUGACAGUCAUCCAGUACAAGGGUGAUUCAAGCAAUAGGUUACAUACCAUAGGUAGUAAUUCUGCAAUUCAUCUUUGAGUCUUCAGAACUUUUGGAUGCAUACUGUCUGAUCCUGGUGACAUAUUACUGUUUAAUUUAUCAAUUUGUUCCAAAAACCCCUCUACUGAUACCUCAAUUUGGGACAGUUCCUCAGAUUUGUCACCUAAAAAGAACAGUUUAGGUGUGGGAAUCUCCCUCAUAUCCUCUGCACUGAAGUCUGAUGCAAAGAAUUCAUUUAGCUUCUCUGCAAUGGCCUGGUCCUCUUUGAGCGCUCCUUUAGCACCUUGAUCAUCCAGUGGACCCACGGAUCAUUUGGGAGGCUUCCGGCUUCUGAUGUACUUUAAAAAAUUGUUGUUAGUUUUUGUGUCUUUAGAUAGUUGCUCUUCAAAUUCUUUCUUUGCGUGCCUUAUUAUCUUUUUACACUUGAUUUGCCAGAGUUUAUGUUCCUUUCUAUUUUUCUCAGUAGGAUUUGACUUCCAAUUUUUAAAGGAUGCUUUCUUGCUUCAACUGCCUCGUUUACUCUGCUGUUUAGUCCUGGUGGAAUUUUGUUUUGGUUCUCUUACUUUUUUUUUUAUUUGGGGUAAAUAGUUUGAGCCUCUAUUAUGGUGUUUUCAAAUAGUCUCCAAUCAGUUUGCAGGCAUUUCACCCUUGUGGCUAUUCCUUUAGUUUCCAUUUAACAUGCUUCCUCAUUUUUGUGUCAUUCUCCUUUUUUAAAUUAAAUGCUCCUGUGGUGGAUUUCUUUGGCAUUUUUUUCCUCUACAAGGAUGUUAAAAUGUAUUACAUUAUGGUUGCUAUUACCAAGCAGGUCAGCUAUAUUUGCCUCUUGGAUCAGAACCUGUGUACCACUUAGGAGUAAAUCA